UCAUUGCUUAUAUCUCAUGGUAACCUUGGU
rnacentral:piRNA from 1 species